CUGGCAGUAAUAGAAACUGAAGUCCUCUUUUUGUAUCCACAGGAUAGAUACAGUUGGGCCACUCCAGUGUGAGCCUCUCCAUGCUGCCCCAUCAAUGACCCGGAGGGACUUUCUUCCCUCUCUUAGAGAGAGAUGUUCCGUCUCCAUAGGAGCUCAGUUCUGGUCCUCU
ensembl:misc_RNA